AUGAGCAAGAAACUUCUGUGGAUCUCCCUGGAUACAUCUACACAGCAGUCUAAUACCCAAGGCUCAGGAAACAUUUCUGGAAAUGCUGGUGAAGAGAUUGUGGAAGCCAUAAAAUCACAGAACAGAUCCUACCCUGAGCUGGACUCAGCCUCAGACUUAUCACACACAGACAUGAUGAUCACCAUACCACUUCUGGGGUUGCUGUUACUCUGGCUUUCAGGUGCCAGAUGCGACAUCCAGAUGACCCAGUCUCCAGACUCCCUUCCUGUGUCUCUGGGAGACAGUGUCACCAUGACAUGCCAGGCCAGUCAAAACAUUGGCAAUUAUUUAGCAUGGUAUCAGCAGAAACCAGGGAAUCCACCCAAGCUCCUGAUCUAUUAUGCAAACAGCUUGGAAGAUGGGGUCCCAACGAGGUUCAGUGGCAGUGGAUUUGGCACACAGUUUUCUCUCAAGAUCAGUGGCCUGAAGUCUGAAGAUGUUGCAACAUAUUACUGUCAACAGUAUAGCAGUGACCCACCCACAGUGAUUCAAGUCAUGACAAAAAUCACCCAGGAAAUGAGAAGUGAGAGCCCAGACUGA